rnacentral:lncRNA from 1 species
CCGGGAGCCUCCUCGCCCUUCUCACUCUGCCCUGCCCAGACUGUGCAGCUGGAAGACAUGACCUCGGGGCUGCAGUCAUGCACACCACAGCCCUCUCUGACCCACCCAUCUCCUCGGCCUCUGUGGGACUCCCUUUGAGGACCUGCCAGCAUUUCUCAGAUGAACACUUUGACCUGCAGAAAUCGUCUUCCUGAUAUUUUCUAGGAUGUGGGACCUGUGUCCCAAACAGGAAAGGAACCAACUGCCAGGAUUUAAAUCUCGGUAGGACAAAGACAAUGAACGUGGCUCAGAAUCCCUCAUGUACAUGUCUUACAGCCUUGAGCCCCUUUUCAGGAUGGAGCAUCAAUACUCUCAAAAGGUAAAGACAAGCAGUAGAUCCCUUGCUGCUCAAAGGGCGAUUCCUGGAGGAGCAGCAGCAGCAGCAUCUGGGAACUUGUUGGAAAUACAGACUCUAAGUCCAUUCCAGACGAGCUACAUCAGAAUCUGCACUUUAACAAGAGUCCCAGGUGACAUGUAUGCACAUUAAAGUAUGAGAAACGCUGGCAAAACCAUUACUAGAUUCCCAGGUGUUGGUAAAUGAAAUGAAUGUUUUUAAUAUUUUGUCUGUUUGGAAGUGUCUUAAACAAAUGGCAUAAGAGUUUGGCCAGAGUUACACACCAGUCCUGAAGAGCUACUCUGUUCAAUUACAGCCCCUGCAGUUAUCAAGAGCCACAAUUGCAGAGCACAUUCUUGAUUUUAAAUAUGGUCAUCCUGUGGGUAUACAAAUUGGCUCUCCCAGACAGCGGCACAAUUAAAAGGCAGCUUCCGAAUUCAUUACUUACUUUCAUGUCAUCAGCCCAGCCACACACUUCACUGCUCUUCAUUCUGCCCCUGCAUCAGGAUUGCUAUGCACUGCUCAGAGUAUAAUCACGCUAUCAAUGAACCGUGAAUGCAAAC